GCCCGUUUAGUGGUAAAAUCCAUCGUUGCCAUCGAUGGGCCCCGCGUUCGAUUCGCGGCUGGCACA
rnacentral:tRNA from 1 species